GAUGAACGCUGGCGGCGUGCCUAAUACAUGCAAGUCGAGCGAACAGACGAGGAGCUUGCUCCUCUGACGUUAGCGGCGGACGGGUGAGUAACACGUGGAUAACCUACCUAUAAGACUGGGAUAACUUCGGGAAACCGGAGCUAAUACCGGAUAACAUGUUGAACCGCAUGGUUUAACAGUGAAAGACGGUCUUGCUGUCACUUAUAGAUGGAUCCGCGCCGCAUUAGCUAGUUGGUAAGGUAACGGCUUACCAAGGCAACGAUGCGUAGCCGACCUGAGAGGGUGAUCGGCCACACUGGAACUGAGACACGGUCCAGACUCCUACGGGAGGCAGCAGUAGGGAAUCUUCCGCAAUGGGCGAAAGCCUGACGGAGCAACGCCGCGUGAGUGAAGAAGGUCUUCGGAUCGUAAAACUCUGUUAUUAGGGAAGAACAAAUGUGUAAGUAACUAUGCACGUCUUGACGGUACCCAAUCAGAAAGCCACGGCUAACUACGUG
rnacentral:rRNA from 1 species